UACGGAGGGUGCGAGCGUUGUCCGGAAUCACUGGGCGUAAAGGGCGCGUAGGUGGCGCGGGCAGUCAACGGUGAAAGUUCGGGGCUCAACCCUGAAUCGGCCGUCGAUACUCCCGGGCUUGAGCACUGUAGAGGCAGAUGGAAUUCCGGGUGUAGCGGUGGAAUGCGUAGAGAUCGGGAGGAACACCUGCGGCGAAAGCGGCUCACUGGACCAUAACUGACGCUGAUGCACGAAAGCUAGGGGAGCAAACAGG
rnacentral:rRNA from 1 species